UACGAAGGGGGCUAGCGUUGCUCGGAAUCACUGGGCGUAAAGCGCACGUAGGCGGAUUGCUAAGUCAGGGGUGAAAUCCUGGAGCUCAACUCCAGAACUGCCUUUGAUACUGGCAACCUUGAGUCCGGGAGAGGUGAGUGGAACUGCGAGUGUAGAGGUGAAAUGCGCAGAUAUCAGGAGGAACACCAAUGGCGAAGGCAGCUCGCUGGGACGGUACUGACGCUGAGACGCGAAAGCGUGGGGAGCGAACAGG
rnacentral:rRNA from 1 species